rnacentral:rRNA from 1 species
AUUGAACGCUGGCGGCAGGCCUAACACAUGCAAGUCGAGCGGAUGAAGGGAGCUUGCUCCUGGAUUCAGCGGCGGACGGGUGAGUAAUGCCUAGGAAUCUGCCUGGUAGUGGGGGAUAACGUCCGGAAACGGGCGCUAAUACCGCAUACGUCCUGAGGGAGAAAGUGGGGGAUCUUCGGACCUCACGCUAUCAGAUGAGCCUAGGUCGGAUUAGCUAGUUGGUGGGGUAAAGGCCUACCAAGGCGACGAUCCGUAACUGGUCUGAGAGGAUGAUCAGUCACACUGGAACUGAGACACGGUCCAGACUCCUACGGGAGGCAGCAGUGGGGAAUAUUGGACAAUGGGCGAAAGCCUGAUCCAGCCAUGCCGCGUGUGCGAAGAAGGUCUUCGGAUUGUAAAGCACUUUAAGUUGGGAGGAAGGGCAGUAAGUUAAUACCUUGCUGUUUUGACGUUACCAACAGAAUAAGCACCGGCUAACUUGGUG